rnacentral:rRNA from 1 species
CUACGGGACGCUGCAGUGGGGAAUUUUGGACAAUGGGCGAAAGCCUGAUCCAGCAAUGCCGCGUGCAGGAAGAAGGCCUUCGGGUUGUAAACUGCUUUUGUACGGAGCGAAAAGGUCCUUUCUAAUACAAGGGGCUCAUGACGGUACCGUAAGAAUAAGCACCGGCUAACUACGUGCCAGCAGCCGCGGUAAUACGUAGGGUGCAAGCGUUAAUCGGAAUUACUGGGCGUAAAGCGUGCGCAGGCGGUUGUUGUAAGACAGGCGUGAAAUCCCCGGGCUCAACCUGGGAAUGGCGCUUGUGACUGCAAAGCUGGAGUGCGGCAGAGGGGGAUGGAAUUCCGCGUGUAGCAGUGAAAUGCGUAGAUAUGCGGAGGAACACCGAUGGCGAAGGCAAUCCCCUGGGCCUGCACUGACGCUCAUGCACGAAAGCGUGGGGAGCAAACAGGAUUAGAUACCCUAGUAGUC